rnacentral:snRNA from 1 species
GGAUGAGAGGGUAAUCUGGCUGCAACAUCUAUCAACCUGUUCAUUGCCAGGGUUGAUUUGAACUGAUCUGGCUGGCUGUUGGGGGUGGGGGUGUCCCCUUCCUCCCUCACUGCUCCACAUGCUCCACAAGUGUCACUCCUAAAGCUUCAUGCUAGGUUGAAGAGAACCACCUUCACAACAGAGGAGACUGUUCUUUGAGUAUACAAAUCACUUUCUUUUCUUCUAGAGCCUCCAAACAAGCUUCCCAAGUGCUGUUGUGAGAGAACAUAAGGUAGUCAGACUUCCAAGACUCUGACACAUCCAAAUGAGGUGCUGCAUGUGGCAGCCUGCCUUUCUUU